rnacentral:rRNA from 1 species
AUACGGAGGGGGUUAGCGUUGUUCGGAAUUACUGGGCGUAAAGCGUACGUAGGCGGACUGGAAAGUUGGGGGUGAAAUCCCGGGGCUCAACCCCGGUACUGCCUCCAAAACUUCCAAUCUAGAGAUCGAGAGAGGUGAGUGGAAUUCCAAGUGUAGAGGUGAAAUUAGUAGAUAUUUGGAGGAACACCAGUGGCGAAGGCGGCUCACUGGCUCGAUACUGACGCUGAGGUACGAAAGAGUGGGGAGCAAACAGGAUUAGAUACCCUAGUAGUCC